UGUCCCAGCAGCCGCGGUAAUACGGAGGGUGCAAGCGUUAAUCGGAAUUACUGGGCGUAAAGCGCACGCAGGCGGUCUGUCAAGUCGGAUGUGAAAUCCCCGGGCUCAACCUGGGAACUGCAUUCGAAACUGGCAGGCUAGAGUCUUGUAGAGGGGGGUAGAAUUCCAGGUGUAGCGGUGAAAUGCGUAGAGAUCUGGAGGAAUACCGGUGGCGAAGGCGGCCCCCUGGACAAAGACUGACGCUCAGGUGCGAAAGCGUGGGGAGCAAACAGGAUUAGAUACCCUGGUAGUCCACGCCGUAAACGAUGUCGAUUUGGAGGUUGUGCCCUUGAGGCGUGGCUUCCGGAGCUAACGCGUUAGAUCGACCGCCUGGGGAGUACGGCCGCAAGGUUAAAACUCAAAUGAAUUGACGGGGGCCCGCACAAGCGGUGGAGCAUGUGGUUUAAUUCGAUGCAACGCGAAGAACCUUACCUGGUCUUGACAUCCACAGAACUUUCCAGAGAUGGAUUGGUGCCUUCGGGAACUGUGAGACAGGUGCUGCAUGGCUGUCGUCAGCUCGUGUUGUGAAAUGUUGGGUUAAGUCCCGCAACGAGCGCAACCCUUAUCCUUUGUUGCCAGCGGUCCGGCCGGGAACUCAAAGGAGACUGCCAGUGAUAAACUGGAGGAAGGCGGGGAUGACGUCAAGUCAUCAUGGCCCUUACGACCAGGGCUACACACGUGCUACAAUGGCAUAUACAAAGAGAAGCGACCUCGCGAGAGCAAGCGGACCUCAUAAAGUAUGUCGUAGUCCGGAUUGGAGUCUGCAACUCGACUCCAUGAAGUCGGAAUCGCUAGUAAUCGUAGAUCAGAAUGCUACGGUGGAUACGUUCCCGGGCCUUGUACACACCGCCCGUCACACCAUGGGAGUGGGUUGCAAAAGAAGUAGGUAGCUUAACCUUCGGGAGGGCGCUUACCACUUUGUGAUUCAUGACUGGGGUGAAGU
rnacentral:rRNA from 1 species